rnacentral:lncRNA from 10 species
CUUUCCGGGGAUUCAACCUGCUUCACCUACUAAAGUUCACUUCAGGUCCCUUGGAAAAGCUGUCUUCAAAACCACCAGUCAGGAUGAGCUACAGAGUUUCCUCUACUUUCUUGGGCUGUAAAGGGAAAAGCCCAGAGUCAGAGGCCUGGAUUCAAGUCCCAAUUCAGGUCUCCUUGGGCAGCAAGUCACAUAAUGGCUCUCAACCUUGGUUUUCUUAUCUAUAAAAUGGGGAAGAUGAUAGCACCUUCCUCACAGGGUUGUGAAGAUUAAAUGAGAUGAGGCUUGUGAAAUGCUUUAUAAAUGGUAAAGUACAUGUCCACAUAAAAGCCUACAUAGCACUUUGUGCUUUGUGUUAGUUGAUUACUUGACUGUCUCUUUGAUUGGUGCUCAUUACUUGUUAGUCAAAUGGAUAAAGGAAUGAACAAGGCAGAAGAUUAAGAUGAAUGCUUUUUUUUUUGAGAGACAGGGUCUUGCUGUGUUGCCCAGUCUGGAGUGCAGUGGCAUGAUCAUGACUCACUGAAGCCUCGAUCUCCCAGGAUCAAGCAUUUCUCCCACCUCAGCCUCCCAGUACUACCGGUGCAUGCCACCACACCCAGCUAAUUCAUUUAUUUAUUGUUUUAUAGAGACAGAGUCUCACUAGGUUGCCUAGGCUGGUCUUAGACUCCUGGGCUCAAGCAACUCUCCCUGCUCGGCCUCCCAAAGUGUUGGGAUUACAGGUCUAAGUCUCUGUGCCUGGCCAUGAAUGCUUCGAGUUAGCUGGCUGUGCCUGUGGUUUGUUUCCACAGGAUCUCGGGGGCCUAUGUCUCAGCCAAGUAGUCAACCCAGGCAGAGAGAGAGUGACAUGAAAUAUUUAGGGUGGCAGGAAUUGUGUGCCAACCUUAAAGGCCCGUGUGUGUUAAUUAGUAUAAUUAAUGAUGGCACCAACUGGCUCAUUACCUGAGGGAAUUAAUGGGGAUCAUUUGUCUCCCUAGAGCAGCCAUUCUGUGUGCUGGGGGCUGUCAGGGAGAUGGGGAGAUACCACAUGUUCUCUGCCUCAGGGAUGGAUUCCUGAGCUUCUGUCUAGAUCUGCCUGCUCUCCAGAAGUUUUUCCCCUGUUUCCCCCUUUGGCAUUCCCCUGCCCAGGGCUUUUGCCACCAUUCUGAAGCCCAGCUUCACUUUAUAUCAAAAUAAACUAUUGAUAUCUAAGCCUAAAUGCAUAUAGGGAUUAAAAAAAAUAACAGCUGUGGGAUUUUUAUCUUUCCUCUAAUCUUUUCUCCCUCCCCAGCCAUGACCAGGCCACACAGACGUCAUCUUCAGCCUGGGCCAGUCACACCCAUACAGUAUUCUGGGAGCUCUUAGAGACCCAUGUUAAGAGGAGCUGGUCUGUUGCCACUAAGGCCGAUUUAGGGAUAAGUUAGAGGCAAAGCAAUCAAGCUCAGUGACGUCGGAUCCCACUCUGAGACACAUGGGCUGUCUCUUCCUCUCCAGCAUCCAAUGCCUCUGUUCCAAGCACUUCUCCCUUUCGGCUGUUAAGAAUUAGCUGCUGCAGCUGCAUCUGAAUUAUACCUUCCUUAUGUGGGAGCAGAAACAGAGUGCCUGGACCCAUCUCCCUUCUAAGAAGACCAGAACACAUAUUCAAGGCAAAAGAAAAUACUGUGGAGAAUCUCUUGGCCCCUAGAGCUCACAGCUGUGUGCAGUCGUUUGUAGGAAGAUACUGAAACUCUUGACCUUUUCAAGGGAAUGUGAUGGGCAGAUAGGAGCCCAUGUUGGGAGUCAGGCAGCGUCCCGUAAAUCAUCCUACAAAAGUACUCAACUGGCCCCACACAUUUCUAGCAAUAAAUGGUCGGCCACCCAGAAAGGAAUGCCUACCACAGCGUUCUACCCAAAGGUGAUAUGAUAAAACGAUGGAACAGACUUGCAGGCACAUUUCAGGUUCAGGUUCACAUUUACAGCCCAAGAAGUUUAUACGUACGGAUGAGUCCCUGUAGCUACAUUUUUGACUGUGUAUGUUGGGUUUACAUAUAAAUGUGUGUUUGUGUGACAUAAAUAUGUGCUUUUCCUGCUUUGGUGACUGUUAUGGUUUACAACUCUGUUGUGUACAUCAGCGUAUCUCUUUACAGAGGCUGACGGCCUCUAGGAAUGUGUAUGUACCUAUGGGUAUUGCAUAUCUUUCUGUGUUGGUGGCUGCAUUUGUCUUGUUGUGGGUACAUGUGUGUGGAUUUCUGUCUGCUCUCUGAGUGUGAGUGACUAAUGCAAACAGUGAAGACAAAACAUCUAAUGUGUCAAGACUAAAUCCUCUAUUUUCCUUUAAGUGGAUCUUAGAGUUCAAGAGACUGAACACUGACCGGAUUCAUCUACUCUACUCCACAGGGCCAUAACCCUGGAAUGGUAUAUGCAAAUAGUAUUGUAAUGGUGAAGGUAACCAAGGAGUACAUUUGUGUGUGCCUGUGAUGGGUGUGGGAAGGGUACACUGCGGUGUUUAUUAGAGCAGAACUUGUCCCUGUGGACCAUUUCAUGCAUGAGCAGCACCAACAACACAGCCUGGGGCCUGCGUGGUCCAGAGCAGCUCUGGGAGACAGCAGAGGCACAAGGUGUUUGCGUGUGUGUGUGUGUGUGCAUGAUCAAGGCCAACACAUUGCCGAGCUCUGGAUCCACCAUUUGCUGUGUGUUCUGUGGAGUUCCAGGAGGUGUCAUGCACACUGAGUACAAUGUGAAUAUGCCCCGUGGAUUUGUGCAACACAGAGGCCCUGGGCAGCGUGGUAGACACAGGGUUCCUUCUCACCAUAUCCCUAUUCCCAGUCCUUCCAUCUCAACCAGACAGGCCCCCGCCCUGAGACAGUGUUGCUAUCCCCAGGCCCCUUCUCAUGACAGCUCCCUGAUCUGAGGCUGGACAGAAGAAAGCCCAGGCACUCAUUUCCAGGGGCCCAGCUCCCCAGAGUGUGGAAGCACAGCCAGAAACCAAGUCUUCUUUCCCUGGAAGGUUGCAGUGACUUGUAAGAAAAAAGGUUCUUACUGAAAGAAAUCAGAUGAAAAGGAUGGGGAAGAAGGCAAAAAAAAUUUUUUUAACUGAGUUUUGCUUAGGAAAGGUCAGCCCCAGGAAUCUGCUUCCUCACCAGCGUGAGUGCUCCGCGACCUUCUCCAGAUCAAUAGGACACUGAUCACCUCAUAAAAUCACGUUGAGGCAGCAGGGGGCUGCUGGAGGGAGGCUGCCUAGCACCAGCACUGAGUCCCCUGAGGGCAGGACUCUUGGCAGAGCCCCAUGCUGCCAACCUGCCCCUGCCCAAGCCCUCCUGCCACCUCUUAGGAGCCCAAAGCAACCCGGUUCUCAUUUUCAGGCUCUACGGCUCCAUGGAUAGCUGUCCUUGCUUAUGACUAUGAGUUGGGAGCACCCUUUCUGGAGCAGCCUGGGCCCCUUGGUCAGGCCACCCACCACAGUCUUCCAAGGCUCAGGCCACUGCUGAGUAGAGUGUAAGUGACACAGGUAGUCCCCAGGACAGAGAAAUGUGGCAUUUACCAUUGGUCAGCAGAGCCACUUGCAAAUUAUUUCUCAGUAAAUGGUAUAGGUGCAGUUGAGGGAGAGAGAAGCUGAGAAUCCUCUGUGCACAUGCUUGGCCUGCACAUGAGCAUCUGCUCAAUCCCUUGCACCCUCAGAGGAUGCACAACUUUGACAUCUUUAGCCAGCCCUAGCUAUAAAGUGCAGCACAAACAGUCCACAGGCUUGAGGGGUGUGGGAGCAGGAAAGGGGGACAGUGACACUUUCAAAGACUGGAAGAUGCUAUUAACAUGUCAGUCCAAUUAUGGUAAUGUGCUGGGGUAAUUGGCCCUCCAAGGGCUCAGGGGAUGAGCAUGAGUACAGUAAUUGCAGGUUCACUUUGCUCUGCAUUCUUUACCCUGCUUUGGUGACUAAUUAUUAGUAUUUAGCAAGUGGAUUUUGUCAUCUUCAAAGCAGGUGCAGCUGUGGCUCAGGCAUUGGAGCUGGGGCCAGCUAAAGGUCAGCUUCUGCUCGGGGAUAAUUAAUUUGUCUUUUGUGGAUCUGAAAUGUGCUCCAAGCUUGUCUCUUCUUUUUUGCUUCCAAACAAACAAACCAAAGGGAAGGAGAAUAUACCUUACAGUUUAUUUCAGUGCCCUUUCCAUUAAAAGGCCAGAAUUGACAAAUAGGGGUAAAAUGACUGGAGGAGGUCAUUUGUGAAACUCCGUUUUCUUUAGGAAAAGAGCCAUAAAUUGAUUCCCUGCCAGGAUCCCCAUGAAUAGAAAAACCACAUAGUCUGAAAUGGUAGUCAACAGGUGAGUAUAGUCUAUAAAUUCUUUGACAUUCUACUUAUUUGCUUGUUACCACUUACAGAUUGGACACUAGGACACUCUGUUCCCAAAAGGGUUUUGGAAUUCAAAAAUGAAGGAGAAUAACAAUAGUGCAUAGCUAUUGAAUAACUACUGGGUCAGAUACUACGCUCAUGCACAUAAAAUGCUUACUUUGUCUAAUCCUCACCACAGCCCUAGGAAAUAGGUGCUGUUAUUAUCCCCAUUUUAUAGCUGAGAAUCUGAGGCUCAAAGAAUGUAAAAAUGUUGCUCAAAGCUGAAGUAACAGAGCUACAUUUAAUCCCUGGUCUGUCUGAUGCCUAACAAAAUCCCUUUAUUUAGUGAGGUGCUAUGCUUAUCUUUCUGGAAUGCAAAGGCAACACUCACUAACUUUCCUUUAUGGAAGACCAAAAACCCAGACAUUUUUUUUUAUCAGAGCCUUCUAGGGUACCUCAGGAGGCCAAAGUUUGAAUUAAGCAUUAUUCCAUGGGUAUGAUGCAUGAUGGAAUUUUAUCAGAGACAAAACAGAAAUCAGCAUAGAUGAAGAAAUAGGAAAGGCAAUGGUCCCAUCCUGAGUCCUGCCUCUUUAUUGAGUCUCCUCAACAACUCUGGCACAUGAAGCCCUUUCCCUAUCCCAGCUGCUUUCUACCCUGUAGGGUCCUGGCUCUGUUAGAUUCCCACUCAUUUUCAUGAAUUGUCUUGGAAACUCUAAUCAUUUCAUAUUCAUUUAUUUCUCUAACAAGGAUCCAAAUGCAUUUAGGUCACAGAACUGACCACAUGUGCUUUUGCUGCUCCUGGGGUAUUUGGCUCUGCCCUGGGGAUAUAGGAGGUGCCCAAUAAGUCCUGACUGAAUCAAAUUGGGGGAGGAGGGUAGAUAAGGCUCCUCUUCUGAUAGUUGGGUUGACAAAGGAAGACCUUUUGUUUCACGUUGGCUUGGCAAAUACAGGAUAAUUUAAGAGAUAGGUGUGACCUUCUCACACAUAUACAUUUUGAAUUCAGAAGAGUGUAUGGAAGUUUCUUGUGACCCACCUGCAUUGCAAAAUGGAAUUCAGUCAUAUGGUAUCAUUCUAAGGAGUGGCUGGCAAGGUGAAAGAAGUGAAUGUAUAGGAGGGAGUAGAUGCUUCAGGAGUUCAGAUUUGUGUCCAAGCCUUGCUGUUAUGGCAGGGCAACAAAAUUUUGUUCGGUGGUUUCGCUGCAGCCUACAUAUUGAUGCAGCCAAAUGAAUUCUCCUCUUUGCAACCUGACCUCCUUCUUACUGUGAAAUGAUCUCAUUUCAAGGCUAACCACAAGAGGUUUGGCUGGGCACCCGGCAUGCCGUGUGCCUGGCAUUUGCAAAUCUUCAUGCAAAGUGCAAAGUUUUUUUUAAAAGACAGUAAAUAAUCCUGUCCAGAGAAAUCUUGGAAAGGUCUGCUCCCAGCCACGAAGUGAAAAAAAAAAAAAAGCAAUUGCUCUCCCCACCCUCACAACCAUUAUCUGCCGCUCUUCUCGAAUGCUAAGGCUUAAGUCGCUUUUAAUUUUAGAUCAGGAACAAUCUGAUUUGGGGCCAAGGUCUUUUUUCACUGUCCUUCAAAAUGUAUUAAGCUGUGGUGUUUUUCCACAUCCAGCCUGCUCUGUUUCAGUUUCUUUAGUGCCAAAAGCUGAGGCUCCACGAAGAAUUCGACCUAUGGCCAGGAUGCAGUGAGAUUGUACCCUGCAAAGAGCAUCACCCUCCUGCCUACAGUGGGAAGCCCAGCAGUUAUAUGAGGAAGACAGAGAGAAAGAGAGAUGGUUCAUUGUCUGCCCAUUGUUGGGGGGUACUCCUCAUUUGCUUGGUAGAGUGUGGUGAUGCCUACAUGGCUGGUCAGGCAAAUGACCAGAGACUAAGAGAGUAGGCAGAGUUCCCAGAAGCUCAGGCCACUGCUGCCCACUUCCUAACAGCAUACUCCCUCUGUGCCCCUGUCUAACACAGAAAAGAGAAGGUCCCCUUGCAAACCAGGUUGUCCCUUGGUCAGUGCCAUCUUGCUCUCAGUCUCCUGUGCCACCAGUGGACCCUGAGCAUGCAGGUCAUUCUUCCCAAGCAGAGGGACCAGGUGUGGGAUGGAUGCUGAUUACUGGACCUCACUUUCAGUUCUGUGGACAGAAACUCAGCUGCCCAUACCAGCCUUUGUUGGUGAAGCCUUAGCUCUGUCUCCUGGGGGUGUUCUGCUCCCAGCAUGAACCUCCACCCAGGAUGAGAUGUGCAGACAUGGUGGAGGCUGAGAUGCAAAAGACCCCAUUUCCCUAAGCGGACUCUAUCUCACUGUAGACAUCAACAUUGAAUCUACUUGGCAGGACAUCAAUCCUCUCAUUUUGUUCCUUUGAAGUCUUCCACACCUCAGUAGACAGAUCUGAUUCUAGACCUUGGCCCAUUCCAGAGUCCCUCAACUGCAGUUCCUAGAGCAGGUCCCAGGAUAUGACCAGGUAGUCCUGUUCAACAUGGCCUGGACACCAUCUUGGCCUCUCAAACUGGAUGGAGUCUUGUGGAUAUCAGAAUUGACUCCUGAGCAAGAUGCCAAAUUUCUUUAACCCAGGUACUCCCCAUUGGGAUAUUCUUUCUCUAGGCCUCUGACAAGAGGAAUGUGUGGUGGAGGGUGGGAGAAAUGUGAGGAAAGGAGGACGAGCUAACAGUGAGUGAUAGGUUGAAAACGGGAAGAGUUUAACUCUAAGGCACUGCUGGGCCCCUUGGGAUCCCAGGCUCUAAAGAGCCUGGGAAAGUGACAAAAUAUUUAUAUACAUAUAUUUUUUCCUUCCUUUAGCCAUGACCUUUCUUGGGAACACUUGACAAGGUUGUUGGUGAACAAGCAUAUCCAGUGUGCAGCCAGACAGGCUGGUAAGGUGCUAAGGAGAACAGCAGCAGCAGCAGCUAAUGGGAUGGCCUCCUUUUUCAGAGGAAGCAGUACCUCUCUGGCAUCUCUGCCUGGUGCCAUGCUGCCUGAAGUAAGAAGAAUCAGCUUCUGGAAAAGAGCUUGCAGUCUCAGCACAAAGGACAUAAUAAAGAAUUCUGUAAGAGCCAUGAGGA